rnacentral:ncRNA from 2 species
UAGUGGGGUAGAGGCGCGAUGUUUAAUAGUCUUUAGUGGAGCUUGGGAACGCUGUGAUGCUAAGGAGAAGGGGAUGUCGCCGAAGUGUGGAAUAGGUCUCGCUAUUACAUGCUGGGUCUGCAGUGAAUAAUUGCAGGACUGUCUUAAUAAGCUGACAGGUUUAUUAAGUUGUGCUAUCUCUUGU